rnacentral:rRNA from 1 species
CUACGGGGUGCUGCAGCGAGGAAUAUUGCGCAAUGGGGGAAACCCUGACGCAGCGACGUCGCGUGAAUGAUGAAGUCCUUAGGGAUGUAAAGUUCUGUCAAGAGGAAGCAUAAUGAUAGUACCUCUAAAGGAAGCUCCGGCUAAUUACGUGCCAGCAGCCGCGGUAAUACGUAAGGAGCGAACGUUAUCCGGAUUUACUGGGUAUAAAGUGCGCGUAGGUGGUUAAUCAAGUUAGGUGUUAAAUCCUUUAGCUCAACUAAAGUCUGCAUCUAAACUAAUUGACUAGAGAAUAGUAGAGGAAAGCGGAACUCACAGUGUAGCGGUGAAAUGCAUAGAUAUUGUGAGGAACACCGGUUGCGAAGGCGGCUUUCUGGCCUAUUUCUGACGUUGAGGCGCGAAAGCGUGGGGAGCGAACGGGAUUAGAUACCCGCGUAGUC